CCCUUAGAUGUUCUGGGCCGCACACGCGCUACACUGAAGGAGGCAGCGUGUACUCCUGGAUCGAAAGAUUUGGGUAACCCGCGAAUCUCCUUCGUGCUAGGGAUUGAGGUUUGCAAUUAUCCUUCAUGAACGAGGAAUUCCCAGUAAGUGCAAGUCAUAAGCUUGCGCUGACUACGUCCCUGCCCUUUGUACACACCGCCUGUCGCUACUACCGAUUGAAUGAUUUAGUGAGGACUUCGGACUGGGACCGAUGCGGCUUUCGGGCUGCGUCGGUAUUCUGGAAAGAUGUCCAAACUGUAUCAUUUAGAGGAAGUAAAAGUCGUAACA
rnacentral:rRNA from 1 species